UGAGAGCUAUUUGCGGUCAAUAAGUAAAGCGUUCCUCUGCAUCAAAGUUUGUAUUGCAAUUUUGCAGAAAAACAAUACAGAAUCAAGCAAAAUGUCGUGCAAAUACGUCAUCUUGAUAUUGAUGAUUACCAUCGCCGUAUCAGCCGUUCUAAUUCAAGGAGAAUCAAAUGCAGAACCAAAAUGUGCAAAUGGUUUUAGUUAUUCUGACGGAUGCAAUACAUGUAAAUGUAAUUUAGAUUUAAAUGCAUGGAUGUGUACAAAGAUGUGGUGCUCUGGCAGAAACCUUGUUCCGCCUCCGUGUCAAUGCAACAAUUAACAAUUAUAUAAGAAUAUCUUUGAUUUUACCCAAUAUUUUUACACAAUUAUUACACUUGGAUGAGUUUUACUCGAUGUAAAGUCGUUACAUAUCUGUAAUCGAGUAUCUUCAACAAAAAUAUUUUUUUAUUCGAUUAAUAAAGAAUCUUCUAUUAUCUCCAUGUAACAUUACGUAUAUUAUAUACUUUCAAUCAAUAAAAACAUUACUAAUAAAACAACA